rnacentral:rRNA from 1 species
AGUGAACGCUGGCGGUAGGCCUAACACAUGCAAGUCGAACGGCAGCACAGUAAGAGCUUGCUCUUACGGGUGGCGAGUGGCGGACGGGUGAGGAAUACAUCGGAAUCUACUUUUUUGUGGGGGAUAACGUAGGGAAACUUACGCUAAUACCGCAUACGACCUACGGGUGAAAGCAGGGGAUCUUCGGACCUUGCGCGAUUGAAUGAGCCGAUGUCGGAUUAGCUAGUUGGCGGGGUAAAGGCCCACCAAGGCGACGAUCCGUAGCUGGUCUGAGAGGAUGAUCAGCCACACUGGAACUGAGACGCGGUCCAGACUCCUACGGGAGGCAGCAGUGGGGAAUAUUGGACAAUGGGCGCAAGCCUGAUCCAGCCAUACCGCGUGGGUGAAGAAGGCCUUCGGGUUGUAAAGCCCUUUUGUUGGGAAAGAAAAGCAGCAGGUUAAUACCCCGCUGUUCUGACGGUACCCAAAGAAUAAGCACCGGCUAACUUCGUG